GAUGAAGAACGCAGCGAAAUGCGAUAAGUAGUGUGAAUUGCAGAAUUUAGUGAAUCAUCGAAUCUUUGAACGCACAUUGCGCCCCUCGGUAUUCCGUGGGGCAUGCCUGUUCGAGCGUCAUUUACCCCUCAAGCACUGCUUGGUGUUGGGCGUCUGUCCCGCUUCGCGCGCGGACUCGCCCCAAAGGUAUUGGCAGCGGUCGUGCCAGCUUCUCGCGCAGCACAUUGCGCUUCUCGAGGCGGUCGAUCGGCGUCCACGAAGCUCACCUCCACCGUUUGACCUCGGAUCAGGUAGGGAUACCCGCUGAACUUAAGCAUAUCAAUAAGCGGAGGA
rnacentral:misc_RNA from 1 species